UUGACUUUUCCAAGAGCUUGCUUCUGCUUCUAGAUGACUAAACACCUCCCGGGGCCAUAUAGGAGGGGUGUGGUCCCAACCUUAUAAAGACUUCUGAAUCCUGGAGCCUGGGGACCAUGCACUCAACCUGCGCAUCUCUCGUGCGGCCGUGUGUCGGGAGUCUGAGCCCGGGUAAGGGGGGUGACUGGCCCCUCACCUCCCCAGUCAGUGCCCUUCUGACCCCUCGCAGGAGCAAGGGGAGUGGGCAGCGCCCUUCAUGCAGCCUUCAAGACAUUUCAGCAGCUCCACGGCCUUCAGCUUCCUCUCUGCCUUCAGAAAGGUGCCCAGCAGAGGGCUUGGUCCCUAAAAAUCUAAGGAAAGAAAAAAGCCAAAUGUGGGCUGGGCAGAUGGGAGAACGAGGGGAAAAGCGGAGGUUUGAGGAUGUAAAGAGGUUGGAGCCCCAGGAGAGGAGAGAGCUGUAACCUGUUUAGAAGCCAGAGGGCCUGGGAGGAGACAGGACGAGAAAAUGCAGAAAGCAACAGCACCUGGAAGAGUAAACUCUCCCUCGGCAGAGCUGCCUGAUGCUGAAUCAGAUCUGGCCAAGGGCACACUUGGUUUUCAUUAUGGACUCAAUUGUAGAUUAUUGGUACUUAUGGAAAGGAGGGAGCCUUGGUCCCCAGGCCUGUCACCUCUCCAGGAUUCCAGCAGGGGGCCCCGCACACCACCUCUCUCCCCCAGGCUCGUCCCCUCCUCUCCCUGCAGCAAAGACCUCCUUCCCCAUGCCUGUCACUGCAAAACCCCUUCCUAUGGCCCAGGGAAGAAGUCCUGCCUCCUCAACACCGCCAGCUCUUCAGGUCUGGCCUCCCAGCCUCUCAGCCCUGCCUCCCCCCAUGCCCUUCCCUCUCCCAGCUGUGCUCGCGCAGAGCCAUCCCGUGGACCACUGGGUUCCCAGCACCUGCUCAGUGCCUGACAAAUGGACGUAAUUAUCCACACCCUGGAGAAACGCAUACUGGGUGUGUGAAUGAGAACAAUCUGGCCAAUCGGAUGCCUUCCUUUCAGCUUUGAAAUUCCGAGUAGGCAGAGCUCACAUCUGUGCAUACCAGUCAGCGUCCUUGCUGUGCGCAUCCUGUCCAGCAGCUCUGCAGCGUCUGGGCCCCAAGGAAUCGGGAGUGCUGCCUGGACCCUUCACCACCCACACCCCUGGUGGCCUGCAGAGGAUCCCGCCAUGUCACUUGCUGCCUUCUGCGUGGUCCCAGGGGAAAGGAAAGGCCACAGGCCCGAAAGACGGCUUCACAUGGGAGCUCUGGAUAAGUUGUUUGACCAAGAGUCCUCCAGGCCCUGAAACGUGCCAAGAGGAGGGGAGACGCAGGUCCAAUGUGAGGUGGGGCUCAGAGGCCACCUCCUGGGCGGGAAGGAGAGGGAGCUGCACAAAGGGUCCUUCUGUGCCCUGGGGCCCAGGGGAGAGGCCUGCAGCUAAGAAAAUAUUUUUAGUGGUUUUCUCUGCAGGCACCUACAUUCCUGAAUAGCUGAAGGGGAGAAGGCCCCAGGUCGGGCGGGGAGAGGAGGCUGCCCACCUGGCCUUGCUACAGGAAGGGGCAUUGAAAGGAGCUCAAAACAUGUUCCAGAAAGUGCUGGGAACAUGUUAAGGGCAGACCCUUGAGGGAGCGGGCAGCCAGCAGACAGGCCGGAGGCGGGAUGAGGAGGUGAGGGAUGAGGCCAGGCUGAGAGGCUGCUGCAGGAGGCCCCCGUGGGAGGGCCUCCCACUCCUCUCUCCUCUGCCCUCCCCAAAGGCAGGCCAUCUGCAGGGAACAGCCCAGGAACUGCGUCUCCAGGCUGGGCACCAUCUGGGUGGCCAGGAGGUGGGCCAGGGAAUGCCAGGGGAGCUGCCAAGUCCUGAAGUCACCGUGCCCAGGCCUGUCCACCACUAAUGGGGGUGUGAGGGAGGGUGAGGCAGAUAGUGGGGAGUCUGGACAACUCUGGGGCUCUCUUCAAGGCGUGAGACCCGAGUGCAAAGAUGGGGGGUGUUGGGGGGCAAGUGGAGGCCGUUAGUGGGUGAGCUCCCUGAUGGCAGGGCCGGGCUUUGUUUCUCUGUGCAUUUUUGAGCUUCCCCUUAGGGAGGUCAGGUUCCUAUGAGGCUUUCAGAAAAAGGAACCUGGUGUCGGGUGGGUGGGGUGCAUUUUCUCUCUGUUCCUAUAUCUCCCGUCUUUAUGGUAAGAGCAGGGGCCAGGCCUGUCGGCCACCCCACCAUGGCUGGGUGGAACCAAGUGGGGCAGCUUUUUGGCCAGAAGACAAAAGUCUCUUUAGCUCCAAAGGAUGCCACUCUGGGCCCCAGACGCAAAGCCUCAGGUCCUGUGGAAGGCAGAAUUCUAAGAUGCCCCCGAGAUCUCCAUCUCUGGGUGUUGCUUCUGUGAUUAUAUCACAUUAUAUGGCAAAAGGGAUUUGCAGUGGAGUUAAGGUUCCCAAUCAGUUGACCUUCAAAUAGAGUGGUUCUCUGGGUGGGCCUGACCUCAUCACAAGAGCCCUUUAAAGGCAGAGAGUUUCUCUGGUGGCAGAAGGAAAGUCAGAGAUUCCAAGCACACGAAGGAUUUGAUGCUCCGUCACUGGCUUUGAAGAUGCGGAGGAAGGACUUGAGAGCAGCCUCUAGGAGCUGAGACAGACCCCCAGCCAACAGCCAGCAAGACAACGGGGACCUCAGUCCUACAACCACAGGGAACUGGUUCUGCUGACAACCUAAAUGACCGUGCGAGCAGAUUCUCCCCCACAGCCUCCGAUAAGAGCUCAGCCUGGCCAAUGCCUUGAUGUUGGCCUUGAGACCCUAACCAGAGACUCGGUGAAGCCCACCCCAGACUUCUGACCUACAAAACUGAGCUAAUAAAUGGGUGUUAUGAAGCCUCUAGGGAGGCUGAGGUGUGGGGGAGGAGAGCUUCUGGAGCAGCUGUUCUUGAAAACUCUGUGAUGUGGCGUUGGGAAGACUCUGAGAAGCUCCUGCGAAAGGCAGACCCACCCUGCCCGCUGCCCGGGGACGGUGCUUCCUGCCGCAGCAGCAGUCUCCAUGCUUGGUGGAUGUAAGGUCUGAAGCAGCAGCUUGGGGAGUCCUGGAACGGACUGUGGUGGGGUCCGAGAUAAGAGGGAGCCCUGCCCGUUGUCCACAGCUGCCGUGCAGCUCUGGCUCACCAGCCGCAGCAGACAGGACCCUAACCCUAACCCUAGAACAGGCUGGGGGCUCUGCUGUAGCUCACAGAUGCCGAGGCCCAGCUCCCAUUUGGGGUCAUAAAAUUACACAGCAGUCCUGUGCUCUGAACGGCUCGAGGACAACUCUGCCUCAGCAAUUUCCAGCGCAAAUUUGCUUUUUGUUUGAGUCUGGAAAUAACAGCGGCAGCUUCCCCAGGGCCCAGGAAUCCAGCCACUGGCUCCUCCUGGUUUCUCCUGUCUGUGAGCAAGAUGCAGCCAGGUGCAUAGGGUGGCACUGAGAUUAAGUGACAACGACCUGACUUGGCUACCCCACAGAUGCCAAGACCCCACUCAGAGAGGGUCAGCAAGGACCACCAGGCCUCUCCACACCUCCCCCUGAUCGCACGAGUGGCCUGAAUCCUCCAUGUGCAGCCGAGGGGAGUCUCUUCUUCCAAUUCCAGGCAGCUCUUGGUACUAACCCUGAAGUGGCGAUGACCUGAGCAGCCGGGUCUCGGUGCAGGUCACAUUUAGAGAUUUCUGGUGAGAAUCUUUGCCCAGCUUCCCCGCUCCCUUGGCUGUGGCUACCACCCUCCCUGCCCAAAGUCCGUUCCAAUAAUUCAAAUCCUUCCUCUUCUGCACCCGGCCUGGUUCCUCUUUCUGUCACUUAUGUCCUCGGCCUUUGCUCACCGGUUCCUUCCAAAUGUUCCCUCUCUGAAUCUAGCUGGGUCCUUUCCAUGCCUAGUUUGCAAACAUGUCAGACCUGAUCCCUACCUGCAAGCCCCCAUCUCUCCCAGGGGACCAGGGAGCCCGGGUUUGACAGGUGCAAUGAUCCAGUGCACGUGAGUGCCAGAUGCCCACAGGGAACGCCAGAGGCCAAGGUCUUCCUAGGACUGGCAGCUCCGGAUGGUUCCCAGGGCAGAAAUAACCUGAGCCUGCUGCCCUUUCCUUCUUGAGAGUGACUCAGCAAGAAGCUGGCAGACAGAAACACGAAUCUAGUCCUGGAUCUUGCAGUGGGGGUAGCAGGCAAGGCCAUGGCCUUAGACUGUGCAUGCAGAGAAAGAGGCUAGACGCAGAGUUGGGUGCUGAAAAGAUGCUUAACCUCACUUAGAAUAAGAGAAGUCAAAUGAAAACUGCACCCAGACCCCGUUUUCCACCUAGCAGAUUUGCGAAGAUCAAAGGUUAGAUGCCUCGCUGAGCUGGCAAGCAUGGGAAAGGCGCUCUCAUGCUCUGCUGGCAGGAUGCUGAACCCACGCAGCAGCCAUGGAGGGCAACCAGCAAUCUACUACGCGCACAAAUCCUGUCACCCAGCAAUUCCACUUCUGGAAAUGUGGCGUCCAGCUGGGAAUGCAUAUUUGUGAAACGACCUAGGUGGCACUGUUGACAAGAAGGACAAGGGAUUGGAGAUGUCCUCCAUAGGGGACUGAUUCCACACUUAUGGUAUGCCCUGGUGAUGGAAUACAGUGGCCAGAACAAAGCAUUAAGAGCUGGUGAACAGAUAUGAAGCGUGUCCCAGGGCUAACGCAAAGUGCAAAAACAAAAGCACAGCAAAGCAGGAGAGGAGCAGGCUGUGGGGCCGGCAGGCUUCAAUUCUCAAUGAAGAAAUGGACUGGCAUGCACCAUCUGGUCAAAAAGGCAAAAGAGAUGGGGCUGGCCCCGUGGCCGAGUGGUUAAGUUCGCGCGCUCCGCUGCAGGCAGCCCAGUGUUUCGUUGGUUCGAAUCCUGGGCGUGGACAUGGCACUGCUCAUCCAACCACGCGGGGGCAGCGUCCCACAUGCCACAACUAGAAGGACCCACAAUGAAGAAUAUACAACUAUGUACCGGGGGGCUUUGGGGAGAAAAAGGAAAAAAAUUUUAAAAAAAAAAGGCAAAAGAGAAACAGCCUGUAUGCUCGUCUGGAUGGUGUGCUAAGGGAUAUCAUCUGGAUGGAGACCCCCCAGACUGAUUUCAUCCACUAUACGGGAGCGUUUUCAUGAUGUACCUUUUUAUAAUUUUAAAUUUUUGAACUGUGUGAAUAGAUUACCUAUUGAAGAAGAAAAUACAGUUUGUUUUAAGUUUAUUUUAUUUACUUUUUUUGAGGAAGAUUAUCCCUGAGCGAACAUCUCUGCCAAUCCUCCUCUUUUUGCUCAGGAAGACUGGCCCUGAACUAACCUCUAUGCCCAUCUUCCUGUACUUUAUAUGUGGGACGCCCACCACAGCAUGGCUUGCCAAGCGGUGCCAUGUCCGCACCCGGGAUCCGAACUGGUGAACCCCGGGCCAGCAAAGCAGAACGUGCAGACUCAACCACUGAGCAACUGGGCCGGCCUGAAAAUGCAGUUUAAAAUACGUGGGCCCCACCUCUGUAAUGGAAUGCAAUGACCCCAGAUCUUGAGCGACCAGCAAGUUCCGGGACAGAAGGAGGUGGUGGACGGGAGAGAUUGUUCCGUCUUAAUUCACGUGGCGUGUUACCUUUUACAAAAUGCGUCACUUUUGUUGCCACAGCCAAUGCUCAGCACAGUCCUUUCUUUUUAGAUGAAGAAAAGGAGGCUCAGAGAGGCAAAGUGAUCUUUCAGAAGCCACACAGCAAGUGGCUGAGCCAGGACUUGCAUCUAGGUUUUCCUCCUCACAUGUGUUUUUCUACCUCCCCCUGUGGCUGGAGAGCCCUGGGGGCUCAAGUCACUGCUGUCCCCUUUUCCACCUAGGACAUGAUCCACCCUUCAGUGCACACUGGUCCAGGCACCAGCUGUGCUAUCAGGAUGAUGUCAGAUUCUGGGUCAGCUGCAUCCUCCCUGGGAGACUUUGGGGAAGUUGCUUGUUGGGCCAGCUCUCAGUUGCUUCAUCUGUGAGGCAGGAACAAUAGUGCUACCCACUCCAGAGCGUUGCGGUGAGAGUUUCAUGAGCUAAGGACCAAGAAAACAGUAGCCUAGAAGAACAAACGGGCCAGGCUUCCG
ensembl:lncRNA